rnacentral:rRNA from 1 species
UACGUAGGGUCCGAGCGUUGUCCGGAAUUAUUGGGCGUAAAGAGCUCGUAGGCGGCUUGUCACGUCGGGUGUGAAAACUCGGGGCUCAACCCCGAGCCUGCACUCGAUACGGGCUAGCUAGAGUGUUGCAGGGGAGACUGGAAUUCCUGGUGUAGCGGUGAAAUGCGCAGAUAUCAGGAGGAACACCGGUGGCGAAGGCGGGUCUCUGGGCAACUACUGACGCUGAGGAGCGAAAGCGUGGGGAGCGAACAGG